rnacentral:lncRNA from 1 species
GGUGGAGGCUUGAAAAUAUAGGAAUAUAUGUGUCCUCUCCCUUAAGGUUGUGUUUUGCAGAAUAUGUGGUGAAUGGGGGUUUGCAGUCAUGGAGUCAUCUGAUUUAUUAGAGUGGACUUUAUAGACUAUUUUAAGUUUGUUGAAUGAAAAUGGCAUUUUCAAUUACACCAGGACCACUUCAGCAUUGCAGAUGUAGGACUAGAGAUGCUACUAUUUUUGUGCCAUAACUAUGCCAUGUAACUAAGAUACAUCUUUGUUUGUCCUUUUAGUGGAAAAUAUAUAACUG